UUAAAUGGAUCCAACAGUAAAGAUUUGCUAUC
rnacentral:piRNA from 1 species